rnacentral:lncRNA from 1 species
GGGUAGGUAUAGAUUUGAUCUCUAGCAUGUAGGGUUAAAGGAUUUAACUUAUUUUAUUUUUUACUGCCUGUUUUCAAAGUGUUGAAAUCUACAUAUGUUGCCUAUCUGAUUUUUUAAUAGUGGUAUCAGAGCCAGAUUUUGAAAAUACAUAUGAUCUAUUUUUAGAUUAGAUCUGAAAGUUUUAAUGAUUUAAAAUCAAUUUUAUGCUGAUACAAGGUUGUCCUGAUAUAGGAUUUAUCCUCUAUAUUACAAAGAUAGUCCUAGCACAAGAU